UACAGAGGGUGCGAGCGUUGUUCGGAAUUAUUGGGCGUAAAGCGCUGGUAGGUGGUCUGUCACGUCGGCUGUGAAAACCCGAGGCUCAACCUCGGGCCUGCAGUCGAUACGGGCAAACUAGAGUGUUGCAGGGGAGACUGGAAUUCCUGGUGUAGCGGUGAAAUGCGCAGAUAUCAGGAGGAACACCGGUGGCGAAGGCGGGUCUCUGGGCAACAACUGACGCUGAGGAGCGAAAGCGUGGGGAGCGAACAGG
rnacentral:rRNA from 1 species